AUACGUAGGGGGCGAGCGUUGUCCGGAAUGAUUGGGCGUAAAGCGAGCGCAGGCGGUUUCUUAAGUCUGAUGUGAAAGCCCCCGGCUCAACCGGGGAGGAUCAUUGGAAACUGGGAGACUUGAGUGCAGAAGAGGAGAGUGGAAUUCCAUGUGUAGCGGUGAAAUGCGUAGAUAUAUGGAGGAACACCAGUGGCGAAGGCGACUCUCUGGUCUGUAACGGACGCUGAGGCUCGAAAGCGUGGGGAGCAAACAGGAUUAGAUACCCUGGUAGUCCACGCCGUAAACGAUGAGUGCUAAGUGUUGGAGGGUUUCCGCCCUUCAGUGCUGCAGCUAACGCAUUAAGCACUCCGCCUGGGGAGUACGACCGCAAGGUUGAAACUCAAAGGAAUUGGCGGGG
rnacentral:rRNA from 1 species